rnacentral:rRNA from 1 species
GACGAACGCUGGCGGCGUGCCUAACACAUGCAAGUCGAACGAAGCAUUUGGAGCUGAUCUCUUCGGAGUGACGCGCCUUAUGACUUAGUGGCGGACGGGUGAGUAACACGUGAGCAACCUGCCUCUCAGAGUGGAAUAACAGUUGGAAACGGCUGCUAAUACCGCAUAACGUCAUUUUGCCGCAUGACAGAGUGACCAAAGAUUUAUCGCUGAGAGAUGGGCUCGCGUCCGAUUAGGUAGAUGGUGGGUAACGGCCUACCAUGCCGACGAUCGGUAGCCGGACUGAGAGGUUGAUCGGCCACAUUGGGACUGAGACACGGCCCAGGACUCCUACGGGAGGCAGCAGUGGGGAUAUUGCACAAUGGGCGCAAGCCUGAUGCAGCAACGCCGCGUGCGGGAAGACGGCCUCGGUUGUAACCGCUGUCUUGGGAAGAAACAAAUGACGGUACCCAAGAAGGAAGCCACGGCUAACGUACGU